GCGUCUUUUGCUGCCGUGCUAUCCUCCCCAAGCACCUGAUUUGCCCAGCAGCACAGCAGCAAAAGAUGUGUCUUUUCUUUUCUUUUUUGCUGCCGUGCUGCUGGGUGAACCAGGUGUUUGGCGGGGAUAGAGCAGUAGCAAAAGAUGC